UUACUUAAGUGGAAAACGAUGUGAAGUUACUUAAACAACCAGGAGGUUGGCUUAGAAGCAGCCAUCCUUUAAAGAAAGCGUAAUAGCUCACUGGUCUAGUGAUUUUGCGCGGAAAAUAUAACGGGGCUAAAGUAAGUACCGAAGCUGUAGACUUAGUUUACUAAGUGGUAGGAGAGCGUUCUAUUUGCGUCGAAGGUAUACCGGUAAGGAGUGCUGGAGCGAAUAGAAGUGAGCAUGCAGGCAUGAGUAGCGAUAAUUAAUGUGAGAAUCAUUAACGCCGUAAACCCAAGGUUUCCUACGCGAUGCUCGUCAUCGUAGGGUUAGUCGGGUCCUAAGUCGAGUCCGAAAGGGGUAGACGAUGGCAAAUUGGUUAAUAUUCCAAUACCAACAUUAGUGUGCGAUGGAAGGACGCUUAGGGCUAAGGGGGCUAGCGGAUGGAAGUGCUAGUCUAAGGUCGUAGGAGGUUAUACAGGCAAAUCCGUAUAACAAUACUCCGAGAACUGAAAGGCUUUUUGAAGUCUUCGGAUGGAUAGAAGAACCCCUGAUGCCGUCGAGCCAAGAAAAGUUUCUAAGUUUAGCUAAUGUUGCCCGUACCGUAAACCGACACAGGUGGGUGGGAUGAGUAUUCUAAGGCGCGUGGAAGAACUCUCUUUAAGGAACUCUGCAAAAUAGCACCGUAUCUUCGGUAUAAGGUGUGGUUAGCUUUGUAUUAGGAUUUACUCCGAAAGCAAGGAAACUUACAACAAAGAGUCCCUCCCGACUGUUUACCAAAAACACAGCACUCUGCUAACUCGUAAGAGGAUGUAUAGGGUGUGACGCCUGCCCGGUGCUCGAAGGUUAAUUGAUGGGGUUAGCAUUAGCGAAGCUCUUGAUCGAAGCCCGAGUAAACGGCGGCCGUAACUAUAACGGUCCUAAGGUAGCGAAAUUCCUUGUCGGUUAAAUACCGACCUGCAUGAAUGGCGUAACGAGAUGGGAGCUGUCUCAAAGAGGGAUCCAGUGAAAUUGUAGUGGAGGUGAAAAUUCCUCCUACCCGCGGCAAGACGGAAAGACCCCGUGGACCUUUACUACAGCUUGACACUGCUACUUGGAUAAGAAUGUGCAGGAUAGGUGGGAGGCUUUGAGUAUAUGACGCCAGUUGUAUAUGAGCCAUUGUUGAGAUACCACUCUUUCUUAUUUGGGUAGCUAACCAGCUUGAGUUAUCCUCAAGUGGGACAAUGUCUGGUGGGUAGUUUGACUGGGGCGGUCGCCUCCCAAAUAAUAACGGAGGCUUACAAAGGUUGGCUCAGAACGGUUGGAAAUCGUUCGUAGAGUAUAAAGGUAUAAGCCAGCUUAACUGCAAGACAUACAAGUCAAGCAGAGACGAAAGUCGGUCUUAGUGAUCCGGUGGUUCUGUGUGGAAGGGCCAUCGCUCAAAGGAUAAAAGGUACCCCGGGGAUAACAGGCUGAUCUCCCCCAAGAGCUCACAUCGACGGGGAGGUUUGGCACCUCGAUGUCGGCUCAUCGCAUCCUGGGGCUGGAGCAGGUCCCAAGGGUAUGGCUGUUCGCCAUUUAAAGCGGUACGCGAGCUGGGUUCAGAACGUCGUGAGACAGUUCGGUCCCUAUCUGCCGUGGGCGUAAGAAGAUUGAAGAGAUUUGACCCUAGUACGAGAGGACCGGGUUGAACAAACCACUGGUGUAGCUGUUGUUCUGCCAAGAGCAUCGCAGCGUAGCUAAGUUUGGAAAGGAUAAACGCUGAAAGCAUCUAAGCGUGAAGCCAACUCUAAGAUGAAUCUUCUCUAAGCUCUCUAGAAGACUACUAGUUUGAUAGGCUGGGUGUGUAAUGGAUGAAAGUCCUUUAGCUGACCAGUACUAAUAGAGCGUUUGGCUUAUCUUUAAUAAAGCAU
rnacentral:rRNA from 1 species